rnacentral:rRNA from 1 species
UACGUAGGGGGCAAGCGUUGUCCGGAUUUAUUGGGCGUAAAGAGCGUGUAGGCGGCCAGGUAGGUCUGCUGUGAAAACUCGAGGCUCAACCUCGAGCUGUCGGUGGAAACUGUCUGGCUAGAGUCCGGAAGAGGAGAGUGGAAUUCCUGGUGUAGCGGUGAAAUGCGCAGAUAUCAGGAAGAACACCUAUGGCGAAGGCAGCUCUCUGGGACGGUACUGACGCUGAGACGCGAAAGCGUGGGGAGCGAACAGG